ACCGAUUGAACCCGUUUUUCCUUGAAGGUCCGAAUUAUCUGCGUAAUCACUUUAGAACGAUAAAAAGAUAGAUAAUCGCUCAUAUGCGUUUUAUUGAAUACUAUGAAUACAAGAUUUUCUCCGAGAGGAGUAGAGAUAUGCUAACUAUCGGAACAACAUGACAAGAGGCGGUCAAGACGUCCUAAGCCUUGCCGUGCUAGUCUAACCACAUAAGCCCUAAGUUCUCUAAGCUAGCAAGAGUUCUCUAAGUCUAAAUUCUCGGAUCCCUUUUUCUUAUGCUCCUGCUCUCUUUAUAUAGUCGCUCUAGGCUGGUGGCCCAUCCUUCGCCUUCGGGCGCAAGUCUAUCUCUUUCGGGCAUAUUCCAUUUUUCGUCGAUCUUGAUAGUUAUCCUCGAAUCUUUACAUUUAUCGUAUUUCUGCGAGUUAGGACAAACCGUCAUAACUUUUAUCGGCUCGAAUCCCUUCUGAGAGCGUAGAUGGGCCUCUAGACCAGUCUGGAUCCUUGCGGACCGUUCUUAGGCCUUUUGGCGUUUAUACGAUUUCUCGGUUUUGGUCAUAAAACUUCGAGAAUAACUUUAAUCAAAACAAAACGAGAAGUAUAUGGUCCCGAAGGUCGGAUAUCACAGCUAUAUGGAAGAUACGGGAGUCGAAGUAAAUCGAACAGGCCGUGAUCAGAUCGAGCUCGCCGGGCGAGCCGACUCGCGUGACGGCCGAACUCGCCGGCGAACACAACCACGCGACGGUUCAGCUAUCCGGCGAGUGGCUUUUGUGUGGGAUUCGCUCGUUCGUUCACUUCCGAUCUUUCUUUCGGUGAAUGUUUUGCGAGAAAUCCGUGAAUAAGAAAUAAUCAUAGCCGUUGAUUUUGAAAUAACCGUUUUUGACCCCAACAGUCUCCUACUUGGCUUUGUUCUACCCAUCACCCCAGCAUGUUAUGCUAGUUUGGAUCCUAAAUCUAAGGAAAUCGGUUAAUGUUCUCGACCUUUGACGUGUACCACGAGAAAGUGAGAUUGACCUCGUUUCCUCAGAUGUCGGUACUUCUCAUGACGUCUUUCGUGUAGCUAGUAACAGAUGAAAUCAUCAGAGCUUGUAAUCAAAACCGUAAAAUGAAGAUCUGGUCGAAAUGAAGGAGAGGAGGGCCAAGAACACUAACUGAAGAAAAAUACCCUGAAAAACAUGACUGUACAACAAGCCUUUAUCGCCAACUGCUCGAGGAUAGAUAGAAGACUGUUAAAGAUCUCUGAACCGAGAAUGGGAAUGCAAAAAAACCGGGCAAGAGCCGGCCACUGCAACCUGAACCAGUGAGAGCUUGAUAUACCUACAAUAAGAAAUAGCAAGGCAAAGCAACCAUGGAUAAACAAGUGCCCGUCCAUGGUCCUGGGAUGCAUCGCCUCGCCGGUGGGAGUCACCAGGAGGUGGGAGAGAACCGAAGACCACACGAACCUCCACAACCACCGUUCAUCGCUGCCUCCGAAAACAAAAGGGAAAUAUGCUUGAAACGCCAAGGAUUGAACCUUCAACUAACUCAACAAUCAAAACAACACAACACACGAGCUGAGCACCACGACACCAAAGUCAAUGUAUAGCCACAGUGCUACUGGAAUGGACACCGGGAAGAUGAACCAUCAGAGGGAAGAUACAUCGCUAAGCCAUAUCGGAGAGCCAUAGAUGACUCCGCUAAUAACCCGACACAGCAACCACAUACGAGCCACCACUGCGAGUAAUGAAACCGCCGCCGCCGUUAGCUAGGCACGCCUCCGAGUUAGUAGGAACCUCCGAAGCAACCAUGGUGAAGGAACCACGGCCUCAACUCACCAAGACACCGAGUAAGAGUCAGCCAUGCCGCAAUCCUCACCUCUCCGCCGUAUCUGACAAUACGGGUGCAACGACCCGGUUUUCUUAACCGGAUCUUGUUUGAUUUUCUCCCUUUAAUUAAUUUGGACCAAACUCAAAUUAUUCCCUUUUGGUUUAGUCAAACCAUGUUUGCAUAUAUAUAAAACGUGUGCAUCUUUUUCUAUCUAACCUAGCCGCAAAGCCUAGCCGCAAAGCCUUGACGAUCUCUAGCAUCUUAUUAUUCUCUCUAUUGCGUGUGCUUCUUCUUCUUUGUGGCUUAUUCGACCGUUCAUGGAGACGAGCAAUGCCGUAACCCCCGUCAAUCACCUUUGUCCAAAUCUGUUGCACCUCUUCACCGCGGGAGACGUCACCGCCGAUCCACACCACCACCGUGUCGGAUCAACACGGCCUUCAACUGUGACUCGUCGGAGACGCCUCCCAUGUCACAGGAGUCCGAGAUCCACCGUUGCCAGGCAGUGUCGUGGGGGUUCCCUCCUUGAUUCUUGUGCUACAAGCUUCGUAAUCAUCUCGUUAUCAACCGCUUUGUGGUUUUGGAAGCAAUUAUGAUCUUUCGUCUCUAUUAUGUCCAAGACUUGUCAAGUAUGUUUUGUUCCAGAGUAUUUCAUGAUCCACUUUGGAACACUGCGAAGGUGAGCUUGUCGAGUGUUGGAUAUCUGGACGGUUUGGUGUCUUGGGAUCAUUGUAUUUUAUUUCAGUUUUAAUUAACUUUUCGAUUUAAAGUACUUGGUUUUUAAAUUAUAAACUCGUUUCAUUUGGAAAUUAUUUGAUUAAAAGGUUUGACAUUUUAUUUGGUUUUAUAAAUCGGUUUAAUUCG